rnacentral:rRNA from 1 species
CAAUAGCGUAUAUUUAAGUUGUUGCAGUUAAAAAGCUCGUAGUUGGAUUUCGGGUGGGACGCAGCGGUCUCGCAUUGCGUUUGUACUGCUGCAGCACUCCUUCUUGCCGGGGGCGGCCUCUCGGACUUCACUGUCUGGGGGUCAGAAUCGGCGAUGUUACUUUGAGUAAAUUAGAGUGUUCAAAGCAAGCUUACGCUCUGAAUAUAAUAGCAUGGGAUAACACGACAGGACUCUGGCCUAUCGUGUUGGUCUAUAGGACCAGAGUAAUGAUUAAGAGGGACAGUCGGGGGCAUUCGUAUUCCGUUGUCAGAGGUGAAAUUCUUGGAUUUACGGAAGACGAACAUCUGCGAAAGCAUUUGCCAAGGAUGUUUUCAUUG